UACCACAUCCAAGGAAGGCAGCAGGCGCGCAAAUUACCCACUCCCGGCACGGGGAGGUAGUGACGAAAAAUAACGAUACGGGACUCAUUUGAGGCUCCGUAAUCGGAAUGAGUACACUUUAAAUCCUUUAACAAGGAUCAAUUGGAGGGCAAGUCUGGUGCCAGCAGCCGCGGUAAUUCCAGCUCCAAUAGCGUAUAUUAAAGUUGUUGCGGUUAAAAAGCUCGUAGUUGAAUCUGUGUGUUACGCUGUCGGUUCACCGCUCGCGGUGUUUAACUGAUACGCUCGUGACACGUCCUACCGGUGGACUUAGCUCCCAAUACCCUUGGGUUUGUGGGGCGGUCCUUUAUUAAUCCCGUCGCGGUGCUCUUUAUCGAGUGUCGAGGUGGGCCGGUACGUUUACUUUGAACAAAUUAGAGUGCUUAAAGCAGGCUACUUUCGCCUGAAUACUGUGUGCAUGGAAUAAUGGAAUAGGACCUCGGUUCUAUUUUGUUGGUUUUCGGAACACCGAGGUAAUGAUUAAUAGGGACAGAUGGGGGCAUUCGUAUUGCGACGUUAGAGGUGAAAUUCUUGGAUCGUCGCAAGACGAACAGAAGCGAA
rnacentral:rRNA from 1 species